GCGCUUCCCCCAUCCAAAAGUAACUCCGUUUUGCUUCGAUUAAUACAUAAACCCGACACUUCCCUGAAUUCUUCUAAUAUCUGCAAAAUUCCUCUCAGAGAUUCCGCCUUACCAUCAAAAAAGAUCAGAACAUCGUCUGCAAAACUCAGGUGAGUGAUCAAAGGAGCUUCACACUCAGGAUGUAUACCAAAUCUACCGUUUAUAGCUCCUUGGUCUAACAUCUUCGACAGUACGUCCAUAGCAAUAACGAAGAGCAAGGAAGAUAUUGGAUCUCCUUGUCUCAGCCCCUUACGACCAGGAAAGAACCAAGUCAUCAUACCAGUAGGGCCAGUGUAAAAAGCUAGUUGCCUGUUUCAAAAGAGCCAAUACUAACACAUAAGUCUCAUAAACAGAACGAUGGUACGGUUAAGUUUGUGCUAUAAUAAGUGCUUACUCUGUGGCAUAUCCUAGACGUUCAGCCAAUGGUGUAAUGCCAAUUAAGCUCAGCAAGAAAACCCACCCCUGAGCCAAGAGAAACAAUCAUUUCUUGAGGUUCAACUCUUACAACAUGAAAUAAAACUACUAGUAUUAGUACACUUACCUUACUAUCUAUCAUGUAGUGAACCAAUAUCGCUAGAGGACCGAAAGGUAACAACAUAUUGAGUUUGUUAGAAAAAAUCACGAUCUUAAUACUCCUGAGAACACUGUUCUUCGGCGAUUUAGUUGCGUGUUCAGGGAAACUCAGAGAGAGUGAUCCUUGCUCCAUCAAAGAAGCUGCUUUGGCUUGCGUGGCAUCUUCUUCUUCUUUUCUAAAUAGACUCUUUUGCUCAAGUUCAUUAACCGACCCCAUCUGUUACAGUAGAGCAUCUUAUCAUUACCCUCCCACAUUAAACUCAGAAACUCAGACAAGAGAUAAGAAUGAUCUUGUGCUUACUUCGACUUGUGCUUGGAUUAGAGCCGGCAAUUUACAAUGACUCAUAUCCUCUCGUGCUACCAAAACAUGGACCAAGGAUAAUGCAACCUGGGUACAGAGGAACUUCUUGUAAGAAGAGAUCUAAGUUUCAAUGACAGUUAUAAUAUUCAAAGCCUAUAAAGGCAGAGUCUUGUGGUUGUGGGUAACGGUUACUUCACAUUAAGGGAAAGAAUCAUAUAAAAGCAAGCAAAAAGAUUACUUCUCUAAAACCUUAAUCUAAAGCCCUUACAGCAGAAAGAAAGAAACUCCAUGAAAGAUAAAAGGAGGAAACUUUUACCUCGAAGUCAAACAAGGGUCAGUCAGAGAAGAAGAAGAAGAAUCGAGCAAGUUGGAGAAACCAAAUCAGAGCGUAAACAACAACGACUUUGAAGUUUCUGUCUUCUUCCUCUGAUCUGCUAGAGACGAAGGAAAGGUCGAGUGUGAUUUGAAUUUGAUAGAAUAAUAUUAAAAGUUCAUGAACGUGACUCCGUGAUCUGGAGGUCGGUGUAGAAUCAAAUCAUUUGGAUCUCAGAUGAUGCUAGUAGAGGAGAACGAGCGAGGAAGUUUCGUUCUUGUGUUCAAAGUUGAAACCUUUCAGCAGUUUGAAGAACACAAGUUUUUUUCUUUUACUGAAGAAGAAGACACAUGUAACGGCGCCGUUUAGUGUUUUGUCCUAAAAAAUAAAUAACCCGCGAAUCUUAGCAUAAUAAAAAUGAAAUUAAUUAGUUUGGUUUUCGAAUAUUUUUUACAAAUCACUGAAAUGACAGGGGCAAACGUUCAAUUUACUAUUUAUAAUUUUAUAGUACAAUUUUUUUUGAAAAAAAAAUUACCUAGUGAUAAAGACAUGGAUUUAAUAAGUAUCAUCAACCUCUGAAUUCAAAAUUGGUUGCGCAUCGGGCAUACUAUCUCUGAGCAACAUGAUGGACGGACUCCUACUUCUACUCCUCUCAAAACACCACCCAUCACUUGUUAAUGCAUCUACCACCCUUGCGUUAAUGCUCAAUCCAGUAACAACUGGUCCUCUCUCCCCUACUACCUCAAUCAGAGGACCCAGAGAAGUCCAAUCAUCCAUCCAAAAACUCGCUGUAAUCCCUGAUCCUACUUGACACUUAAUAAAAGGCCGAGCUUUAGGUCUCAGUUUACAUAAAGACCUCCAAAUCCAACUGCCUCUCCUAUUCGGAACCAACAUCCAAAAGUUUUCCCUUCCUAUCAAGUUCCUCCUAACCCAAGAAACCCACAAGGAUCCUCCCGCUGCAAAUAGAAGCCAUAUUAACUUCAGACCAAGAACAACAUUCCAAUCUGCCAAUCUCUUCAAACCCAAACCUCCUGCCUCCUUAGGAGUGCACACUGACUCCCAUGCAAUUUUUGCCCCUCUCGCUGAAUUUGGAGCCCCAUUCCAGAGAAAGGCUCCACACAUUCUUUCCAAAAUCCUUAUACACUCAUUGGGGAUAAUAAAAAUAGAUGCCCAGAAGGAGAUGGUUGAAUAUAUCACAGCUUGUAUCAACUGAAAUCUACCUGCAAAGGAGAGAUGUUUUACUGUCCACGAGUUAAACCGAGCAGAGAUUUUAUCCAACAGCGGUUGAAAAUCUGAACUUGUCAUCUUCUUUGGUGACAACGGCACUCCUAGGUAUCGAACUGGCAGCGACCCUUGUGCUAUACCCAUUUGUUCAGCCAUCUCCCUACAACGACUCGCGCUUCCCCCAUCCAAAAGUAACUCCGUUUUGCUUCGAUUAAUACAUAAACCCGACACUUCCCUGAAUUCUUCUAAUAUCUGCAAAAUUCCUCUCAGAGAUUCCGCCUUACCAUCAAAAAAGAUCAGAACAUCGUCUGCAAAACUCAGGUGAGUGAUCAAAGGAGCUUCACACUCAGGAUGUAUACCAAAUCUACCGUUUAUAGCUCCUUGGUCUAACAUCUUCGACAGUACGUCCAUAGCAAUAACGAAGAGCAAGGAAGAUAUUGGAUCUCCUUGUCUCAGCCCCUUAC
rnacentral:lncRNA from 1 species